rnacentral:rRNA from 1 species
CCUACGGGUGGCAGCAGUGAGGAAUAUUGGUCAAUGGACGGAAGUCUGAACCAGCCAUGCCGCGUGCGGGAAGAAGGUACAAUGAGUCGUAAACUGCUUUUGUCCGAGGGCAAAUCCUGAUACGCGUCCCGGGAUGAGUGUAUCUGACGAAAAAGGAUCGGCUAACUCCGUGCUAGCAGCCGCGGUAAUACGGAGGAUGCAAGCGUUAUCCGGAUUUAUUGGGUUUAAAGGGUGCGUAGGCGGUUCGUUAAGUCAGCGGUGAAAUCCCGGGGCUCAACUCCGGCACUGCCUCUGAUACUGUCAGGCUCGAGUUGGAGUGCGGUAGGCGGAAUGUAUGGUGUAGCGGUGAAAUGCAUAGAGAUCGUACAGAACACCGAUUGCGGAGGCAGCUUGCC